CCUUCCUGGUGAAGACUGGCUACGCGUUCGUGGACUGCCCGGACGAGAGCUGGGCCCUCAAGGCCAUCGAGGCGCUUUCAGGUAAAAUAGAACUGCACGGGAAACCCAUAGAAGUUGAGCACUCGGUCCCAAAAAGGCAAAGGAUUCGGAAACUUCAGAUACGAAAUAUCCCGCCUCAUUUACAGUGGGAGGUGCUGGAUAGUUUACUAGUCCAGUAUGGAGUGGUGGAGAGCUGUGAGCAAGUGAACACUGACUCGGAAACUGCAGUUGUAAAUGUAACCUAUUCCAGUAAGGACCAAGCUAGACAGUAAGCAGCUUGAAGCUUUUAAUCUAUAUAUAAUAACUAAGUUAAGUACAGUAACAUAUUUUGCGGAUUUCAAUUGAGAAGGGCUGGUGGGUGGCAGAGAGAAACUUUAUUUUACAAAAUUUGACCCUGUAAUCGUGCCUUUCUUAAGUUUGAAUGUCUAGUAAAAAUCUACAUGGGUUAAACUUGUA
rnacentral:sRNA from 1 species